UAAAUUGGUGGAGAUCCUUAUUUUGGCAUACUUGCGAAGUGACGGUCCCGACCUGUACCUCCAAGGCUCGAUCCACCAUCUUGAAAAAAGAUAACAGCACAGUCUACGCAGCGACCGCGUGUGAGCGUAAACGGAUAUGAGAGAGAUAGAGAGCUCGGGCGAGAGCUGGAGGCUAGUUCCAUUUCAAACCACCAAGCAAGAUUGUGUAGAAUCGACUCCAGUGUGACCACCGUGAUUGAAUUUGGAGGUGUAACCACGAAAGGCUGACACUGCCUUUGUACCACUUCAGUCAUCUUAUCUGAUACAUGAUAGCAUACUCCAAUAUCUACUGCCGAAAUACUUGUGGUGAACAGUCUUCAUCCAGCAGCCAAUCCAAUUUGGUACUCUGAAGUCGACCCACAUUUUCUGUACAGAAUUUAGAAUACUGCCAAGACUUUAAGGUAUCCAAAACGAACCUGUGGAAUGGUAACGGUGCUAUAGAUUCGUUUUAAAAAAGAAGCUCAGACUUCAGAACAAUUUCUAUAUCACCUCUCACAGCACUGUUACGAAAUUGAA